rfam:Oryctolagus cuniculus chromosome 12, whole genome shotgun sequence.
CCAAAGGCCCUUCUCAGGGCCACCCAACUUCUCAAAGAAGGAGCUGU